rfam:Gossypium hirsutum cultivar TM-1 chromosome 17, whole genome shotgun sequence
UGUUUAAAAUUUCAUCCAUUUGUACAGUUAAAAACUGACAUGACUGACAAAAUAACCAUAUAGUGAUACGUAGUGUGCUACAUGUACCUAAUGCUGAUGUAUAAGGAUUAGGUUUUAAUAGUAGAAAUAGAUGCAAUUUUUAACA